CAAACCAACGCCUCCAUCCAUAGACACGUGCUUUCGUUGGUUUCGCCCCUUUCACACUUGUGCAACUUGUCGCUUGAACCUUGAACUACUUGUGCUUUGCUUUCAUGCGACCCGCAAUACGUUCUCUGCGUUUCGUGUUGCGUCGCGCUUGCACCUCUGCGAAAGUAGCAGAAAUGCUUGGGACCGGUGCUCCGCAAGUAUCUCUGUGGAACGUGAAUUGAGUCCAGUGCGUCGGCCCUUCACUUGUCCCGAGUCCUGCAACAUAUUUUUUACCCAAGAACACCGAACGCGAUGACACGGAAUGGGUGGUGCGCGAAACAAAACGUUCAUGAGCUCCGGCUAGUGCGUCUGCGCUGCGUCAGAUGCACCGAUCGUUUUUGAAACCUGUUGCUUUAGCAGGACUGCUGAUGUGACUGCGCAUUCCACUACACUGCUUUGAUAUUCCUGUUUAUAAUCGAAUGCGGCACGUCUGCUAGGUUUGAUCCAGCGCUCAGCGAAGUCGAGGCUUACGUACUACACGGUUUUAGGACGCCCGCGUACUUUUCUUUCCCGUUCAAAAACACUAUCUCUGAAUGAAGUGAAGUGAAAGUGAGGAUGGCAGAAUGUAGCGGAGAACCAAAUCAUGGGCGAUUGCGACGCAUUCCAUGUGUACAGGGAUGGUUGUCAAUCCCUGCAAGAUACAUUUUUGUCCUCUUGGGCUUUUUUGCCCUCGUGAAUGUCUACACUCUCAGAGUGAGCCUAAGCGUGGCCAUUGUGGCGAUGGUGAAGCAUCCUGCUGAAGGGGUGGUCACUAUAAAUGGAACAGACUUCAUCAACUACACCCAAUGCCGACCAGACGAUGAUUAUCACUUGAACACUUCUGAUCUACUAGCAGGGCAGCGUGGUGAUCAGGCGGAGCGCUUUGACUGGGAUGCCCAGGUGCAAGGCCUGGUGCUGGGCUCCUUCUUCUAUGGCUACAUCUUGACAGUGCUGCCAGGAGGGGUGCUGGCCGAACAGCUUGGGCCGAAGUGGCUCAUUGGCCUUGGCGUUGUCAUCACCAGCCUGCUGUCCAUGGUGCUGCCCGCAGCUGCGCACGCGCACCACCUAGUUGUGGUUGCGAUCCGCAUACUUCAGGGUCUGGCGGAGGGGGUUGUGUUCCCUGCCAUGCACACCAUGAUUGCAUUAUGGACGCCGAUCACUUCUCGGAGCCGUGUCAUCUCGAUUGUGCAGUCUGGUUCUGACGUUGGUGCUGUGGUUGCCAUGAUGGCAUCUGGGGUUCUAGCUGAAUCAACAUUUCUUGGUGGUUGGCCGUCUAUAUUUUAUGUCUUUGGCUUUGCAGGUAUUGUAUGGUUUAUAGCCUGGUGUUUACUGGCGUUUGACACUCCUAGCCAGCACCCCAGAAUCUCAAGAGAAGAACUGGAGUUCAUCAUAGCCAACCAAGGAAAUGAACAGGCGCAACUGAAGCGGAAGGUUCCAUGGCUCAAGAUAUUGCUGUCCAUCCCUGUUUGGUCGAGUGUCCUUUCACACUUUGGAUUCAAUUGGAUUCACUACAUUUUUCUCUCUGAAAUGCCCACCUACCUGACAUCAGUGCUGCAUUACAGCCUCGGAGCGAAUGGAUUGCUUUCUGCAGUACCCUACAUUCUCGGAGCCUUCCUGUGCUGUGUUGCCAGCCUGGUGGCCGAUGUCUUUCGAAAACGUGGCACCAUGUCUAUCACCAACAACAGGAAGCUGUUCAACAGCUUAGGUGUAAUGGUGCCUGGCCUAUUCCUGGUGCUGGUACCCUUGGCUGGUUGCGAUGGUUUCUGGAACAUGGUACUGCUUGCCGUUGCGGGUGGCUUUCACGGAAUGGGGCACAGUGGUUUUAUGGCUGCUUUUGUUGACCUUGCACCAGACUUUGCAGAUUCUGCCAACACUUGGCCACCAAAUUGUUCAGAAUUACAUAAGCUAGUGCCUUUCACCUGUAUCAGACUAUGAAGCUGAAAGAGCACAAAAAUGAUAGCUUCUGUUGCAAGAAAUAAGGAGUAUGAGUGAACACGCAGUUGCUUCCUAAUGGUGACCUUUGUAUGAUGAGGUACCCUUCUGGGAAUAUCCAAUGUCAUUGCCAGCAUUCCCGGAAUUGCCAUACCAGCCAUGCUAGGUGAACUGCUCAAGGAUCAGAAUCCCCUCGAAGCAUGGGCACUGUUCU
rnacentral:misc_RNA from 1 species